GACGAACGCUGGCGGCGUGCCUAAUACAUGCAAGUCGAGCGGACGAAUCGAAAGCUUGCUUUUGAUUCGUUAGCGGCGGACGGGUGAGUAACACGUGGGCAACCUGCCCUGUAGACGGGGAUAACACCGAGAAAUCGGUGCUAAUACCGGAUAACACGAAAUGUCGCAUGACGUUUCGUUGAAAGACGGCGCAAGCUGUCGCUACAGGAUGGGCCCGCGGCGCAUUAGCUAGUUGGUGAGGUAACGGCUCACCAAGGCGACGAUGCGUAGCCGACCUGAGAGGGUGAUCGGCCACACCGGGACUGAGACACGGCCCAGACUCCUACGGGAGGCAGCAGUAGGGAAUCUUCCGCAAUGGACGAAAGUCUGACGGAGCAACGCCGCGUGAGCGAAGAAGGCCUUCGGGUCGUAAAGCUCUGUUGUUAGGGAAGAACAAGUAACGCAGUAACUGGCGUUACCGUGACGGUACCUAACGAGAAAGCCACGGCUAACUACGUG
rnacentral:rRNA from 1 species